ACGAAAAUAGGUGCAUCGAAGGGAUGCCUAGGUAUUAAAAAAAAGUUGUGUAUUGCAAAAAGCAGGUUUGAAAAAUAUGUUGAAACCUGAUUACUUUAGAAGAAAUUCAUAUUAAGAUAAGAAAAAAGUUGGUGAAGUAAAACAUUUUAGUAACCAUUAAAAAAAACAAACGUGACCUCGUUUGUAGUGGUGAGCGACUACGACGUUGGCAGUUAAAAAUUUUUAAUGUUGAAUUCCAGAGAGGGUAAACUAGUCCUGUAUACAAAAGAAAUUUUAAACGAAUAAAUAACGGAUUAUGAUAAAUUUGUUAGUAUUGUGAGGAUCUACCCUCAAGCCUAUUGAAAUUUUAAUAACCGAUAGUGAACAAGUACCGUGAGGGAAAGGUGAAAAAGAACUUUUUUAGAGUUAAAAGAAUCUAAAAUUCGAUGCAUAUAAUCUGUUGAAGCUUUCGUGUCCAAAAGUAACAGCGUACCUUUUGCAUAAUGGGCCAGUGAUUUUUUAUUUAUGGCAAGCUUAAUUAUAACUAGUAGGCGUAACAAAAAUGAUUUAUAAUCAAAGUAAUUUAAAAGUCAGAAGUAAAAGACCCGAAGCUGAGUGAUCUAACCAUGAACAGGUUGAAGAAAAUGCGGUAGCGCUUUUUGGAGGACCGAACUCGUGUCUGUAGAAAAAUACUGGGAUGAUUUGUGGUUAGGAGUGAAAGGCUAAUCAAACUCAGGUAUAGCUGGUUUUCUGCGAAAUAUAUUUUAGUAUAGCCUGCAAAAUUUAGUUAAAGUAGGGUAGAGCACUUUGCGUUCAAGGGGGGUUUAUAACUUUACCGAGUUCUAAAAAACUCCGAAUAUGCUUUAAUUUUUUGUGGAGUCAGACAAUGGGUGCGAAGGUCAAUUGUCAAGAGGGAAACAGCCCAGAUUACAUGAUAAGGUCUUCAAGUAUAAGUUAAGUGAUAAGAAUGUGAAAAGAUUAUGACAAUUAUAAAGUAGGCUCGGAAGCAGCCAUCUUUUUGAGAGUGCGUAACAGCUCAUUAAUCUAGUUUUUUUGCUUCAAAAAUGUAUAGAGGCUAAAACUUAUAACCGAAUCAGUAAAUAAUUGGUAGCAGAACAUUCGGUACGUUGUAAGGUAUUUUGUCAAAAAUAUUGUAGAUAUCCGAAGAGAGUAUACUGGCAUUAGUAGCAUGAAACAACGUUUUUUAAUCGUUGUCGCCGUAAAUCUAAGGUUUUCGGUACAACAUUUGAUGAUAUCGAUACUAAUUAAUCGGUCCCUAAGACAAAUUACAAAUGUAUAAGUUAAUGGGAUAUUUGGUGUGACAAAGUAAAAAGAUAUUAUUAAUUUAUCGAUUUAUUGGAGUAUUCUAUUAUUUUCUGGAAAGAGCACCAAAAUUGAUAACCGUACCUUAAACCGACUCAGGUAGAUGGGUAGAAUAUACUAAGGCGUUCAAGAUAAGUAUACUGAAGGAACUCGGCAAAUUGGCUCUGUAACUUCGGGAUAAGGAGUGACGUAUUUAGGGAAACCUGAAUAAGUUGACACUAAAGAGGGAGAAACAACUGUUUAACAAAAACACAGGUCUUUGCUAAUUUGAGAAAAGAAGUAUAAAGACUGACACCUGCCCGGUGCUGGAAAGUUACGUAGAGAUGCUGUGGCAUCAAAAUUAAGCUCCAGUAAACGGCGGCUGUAACUCUGACGGUCCAAAGGUAGCGAAAUUCCUUGUCGGGUAAGUUCCGACCUGCAUGAAUGGUGUAAUGAUUUCUCCACUGUCUCCAGUAUAUGCUUGGUGAAUUUGAGGUAUUCGUGAAGACGCGAAUUAUUUGCAGUUAGACGGGAAGACCCCGUGCACCUUUACUAUAAUCUAAAGUUGUAAAGUCUCUUUUUUAGUGUAGAAUAGAUGGGAGCGCAAGCAAUAGUGAAAUACCAUCCUUUAAAAUUGAUUUUACUUAAUUUUUUAAAAGACAGCUUGUGAGAGGUAGUUUGACUGGGGCGGUCACCUCCCAAAGAGUAACGGAGGUGUACAUAAGGCAAUUUCAAAUAAAAAUUUAUUGUAGAGCGUAAUGGCAUAUAGUUGCUUGACUGUAAGAUAAACAUAUCGAACAGGGAUAUAAUGUCGGUCAUAGUGAUCCGGUGAUUUUGUGUGGAAAAAUCAUCGCUCAACGAAUAAAAGGUACGCCGGGGAUAACAGGCUUAUGGUUUCUGAGAGUCCAUAUCGACGAGACCGUUUGGCACCUCGAUGUCUGCUUAUCACAUCCUGGAGCUGAAGUAGGUUCCAAGGGUUCGGCUGUUCGCCGACUAAAGUGGUACAUGAGCUGGGUUCAGAACGUCGUGAGACAGUUUGGUCCCUAUCUGCUGUGAAUGUUAAAAAUUGAAAAGCCUAAAUUUUAGUACGAGAGGAUCGAAUUAAGUAGACCCAUGGUUUGUCGAUUGUUUCAUCUGAUGCAUUGUCGGUAAGCUACGUUUAUAAUAGAUAAUCACUGAAUGCAUCUAAGUGAGAAACUGCCUUUAAAACAAGUUUUUAAAUACGUAAAAGAUUAUUACGAAUUUAGGUUAAAAAUAUAAGGAUUGCAAGAUUUUUAGUUUUUUAAUUCUACUUAAAAAAUUUUACUUU
rnacentral:rRNA from 1 species